UACAGAGGUGCUCAAGCGUUGUUCGGAUUCAUUGGGCGUAAAGGGUGCGUAGGCGGCGCGGUAAGUCGGGUGUGAAAAUCUCGGGAGCUUAACUCCGAAAACUGCAUUCGAUACUGCCGUGCUUGAGGACUGGAGAGGAGACUGGAAUUUACGGUGUAGCGGUGAAAAUGCGCGAUAUCAGAGAAGAACCCGUGGCGAAGGCGG
rnacentral:rRNA from 1 species